UUUUCUAUUUUGGUGCGGUGUUUAUUGUAUUCAAAUUGAUAGAUUAAUUUAAAAUUAAUUAUAUUUAAUCAAUGACUUUGACGUCUUCAAUGUUGUAGACAAAGAGAUAUGAAUAUUUCAAAUAUUUUAAUUUUGUUAUAUUUAUAGAUUUUAUCAUAUUUGUAAACAUUUUAAUUUUAUAUAAUAUUAAUGUCACUGUUGUGAAUGUUGUGAAUAUGUUCACAUAUUUAUCUUUUUUUUCAUUUAUAGUCAUUUUGAA
rnacentral:lncRNA from 1 species